GGGAGCGUCAGGGUUCCUGGUGGGCUCCGCGGUCUUCAAAGCCGUUGAGACGGCGCCUUGCGUCGUCUGGUGGGUUCGAUUCCCAUCCGCUCCCG
rnacentral:tRNA from 1 species